CGUAAAGUGUUCUGGUUUUAAUGCGCGUGCGCGUAAACAUUCAGUCACAUUCAGGAGCGCGCGCGAUCAGAUGAAAACAAGGAAACAUCAACUGACAAACUGCAAAAAUAACUUCUCGCGCUGUUGAUUUCGCUGCUUUCAGAAAUGGUUUUGUGUCUUCGAAAAAGUCCGUUAGCAUCACAACCGUUUUAAGAAGAGAAGAUCUUGCUGGUGGCCUGUUGCACCCCCUGUCCAAGAAAAUCUCCACGGCUAUGAACUCAACUAGUGUGUUUUUAAUUAUGUUGGCCAAUGAGACAGACACCAUACUGUCCAACUCAAAGAUGAGAUAUAAUCGUUUGCCCCUGUGAUUCUUCAGGACAAGAUCUUGAUCCACAUUCAGACAUGAAGAAGGGCCAUGCUCAGACCAGCACUCCUGGCAUCUCAACACCCAAGAUGGUGCUUAAAGGGAUACUCCACUUUUUUUUGGUAAUAUGUUCAUUUUACAACUCCCCCAG